GGUUGGUCCAAGUGCAGUGGUGUUUACAACUAACUGAUCACAACCAGUUACAGAUUCCUUUGUUCCUUCUCCACUCCCACCGCUUCACAUGACCAGUAAAA
rnacentral:Y_RNA from 1 species